GCGUCGGUGAUUCAGUGGUAGAAUACUCGCCUGCCACGCGGGUGAGCCGGGUUCGAUUCCCGGCUGAGGCA
rnacentral:tRNA from 1 species